rnacentral:tRNA from 1 species
GCCUGGCGGGCUCAGUGGGUAGAGCAUGUGACUCUUGAUCUUGGGGUUGUGAGUUUGAGCCCCAUGUUGGGUG